rnacentral:lncRNA from 1 species
GAGGUGUUAAUGGAAAAAUCCAACUUCCUUUUCUGCCAAAGAUGAUGACUGAAACCAAAGUGGAGCUUUCCCUGCCUUCAGACUCAGACUGGAACUGCACCGUUGGCUGUCCUGGGUGGGUCUCCAGCUUGCUGACCACAGACCUUGAGACUUCUCAGCCUUCAUAAUCAUGGAAGCCAAUUCCUUAUAAUAAUAUAUAUCCUUUUCCUAGUCUGUGGACUUUUCCCAGCUCCAGAUGGACAACCUUCUAUAAGCUCCAGGAUGCUCCAUCAACGCCCUGUCUAGACUCUACAGAUUUUGACCCUGAAGUAAAGUAGGAAAGGCAAUGGAGACAUGUUAAAUGUUGUACUACUGCCUGAAGCCUUUUCUUCUUUAAAUUUUUCAACAAGAGUUGAAUGCACAUGCGGAGCUUAAUUGGACAACUUUUCUCCUCUUCUGUGGGAUCCUGUCAGUGCUUUAAGCAAUAAGAAGGCAGGUCAUUUCCAAGUUUGUGUGGUAAAUUUGGGGCAAGUGGGAGAAAAGAAAGAAAGGCUGAGUCUUACAGGGUGUGAUUUGGUUCUAGACAUGCUUAUGUUACUUUUUAUAAGAUUAUCCAUUUGACUAGAUUUCUUUCCUGCUAACAAAAGAGGCAAUUUCUACAUAUAAAAUAAAUCCGAUUAAAACUC